rnacentral:rRNA from 1 species
GAUGAACGCUGACGGCGUGCCUAAUACAUGCAAGUCGAGCGAACUGAUUAGAAGCUUGCUUCUAUGACGUUAGCGGCGGACGGGUGAGUAACACGUGGGCAACCUGCCUGUAAGACUGGGAUAACUUCGGGAAACCGAAGCUAAUACCGGAUAGGAUCUUCUCCUUCAUGGGAGAUGAUUGAAAGAUGGUUUCGGCUAUCACUUACAGAUGGGCCCGCGGUGCAUAGCUAGUUGGUGAGGUAACGGCUCACCAAGGCAACGAUGCAUAGCCGACCUGAGAGGGUGAUCGGCCACACUGGGACUGGAGACACGGCCCAGACUCCUACGGGAGCAGCAGUAGGGAAUCUUCCGCAAUGGACGAAAGUCUGACGGAGCAACGCCGCGUGAGUGAUGAAGGCUUUCGGGUACGUAAACUCUGUUGUUAGGGAAGAACAAGUA